CUCGCUAGAAUGGAUCCUAUGAGGUCACACACAAAGGUAUUGGGUUAAGCAAGUAAGAGGCCCAUUAAUGGGCCCUAUGAGCAUUUAACUAAUCAUGAAUAGGAUUGGGAUAGUGUAGUUUGAUUGGGAUUAGGAAUUUGGCUUUUUCAUGGACUCUUAUUUAGAGAUGUGAUCUAUAAAUAAGAUCCAUGCCUAGGGUUGAUCAAUUAAGUCACAAUUAACUUACAGUGAAUUGUGAAUCAAGGCAACCAAAUCCCAAAAACCCUAAACCUCCCUCUCUCUCUCACGGCACCCCUCUCCCCCAUUGGACUUGCGGCCGGCCACUCCUGGUGGAGUUCGUGGUGGUUCAUGACUAGUUCGUUGUUCAUUCUUCUCAGUAGAAAGUCGGUUGAAGAGUUUGAUCGCGACUAACUAGCAUUAGUGGAGGUAUUAAUCCGUGCUUGUGGACCAAGUAGAGGAAUCACGUUUGAGGUUCUUUGUCUCCCUUGUUCUUGUUCGAUUACUAGUGGAAUCACGCUUCAAAGGCAGAUUAAGACGUGAAGAUGAGGAGAAAAUGGGGUUUACCACCUCAAGUGGCGUCGCCAUUCUCGGUGGUGGACAGGACAGAACAACAUCAUGCUUCGUUGCACAUAAAGUUAGCGACGAAGCUGUUGUGGUUCACAUAGCGUCGUCUCCUCUGCAUAAACAGCAGAAGAUGGACGAUGCCCUAGUAUUUUAAGAUGUGGAGAUACGCUUUCCUUCUGAAUUUCUCAACCUUGCUAAGAGGAAUCGUCAGCCUAUGUUCCCUCAACUAAAUCAAGUGUUGUUUCGGGGUUCUCGAGAGCAUUUGGCUGGGACUUCCAAUUUGGACAUCGCGUCGGAGGAUGCUUCCGUUCAUCUUUAUUAUUUGCAAAAUUCCCUGGUUUUGAGGGAGAGGGUGAUCGGGUUGGCUAAGGAUAUGAAGAGGUUGGAUGAUGUUGCGAAGAAUAGUGAAGCUAAGACAAAGAAUGCAACGAG